UGGGGGAUAUUGCACAAUGGAGGAAACUCUGAUGCAGCAACGCCGCGUGAGGGAAGAAGGUCUUCGGAUUGUAAACCUUAGUAGUCAGGGACGAAAGAAAUGACGGUACCUGAAGAGUAAGCUCCGGCUAACUACGUGCCAGCAGCCGCGGUAAUACGUAGGGAGCGAGCGUUGUCCGGAUUUACUGGGUGUAAAGGGUGCUUAGGCGGGACUGCAAGUCAGACGUGAAAUACCGAGGCUUAACUUCGGGGCUGCGUUUGAAACUGUGGUUCUUGAGUGAAGUAGAGGCAGGCUGAAUUCCUAGUGUGGCGGUGAAAUGCGUAGAUAUUAGGAGGAACACCAGUGGCGAAGGCGGCCUGCUGGGCUUUAACUGACGCUGAUGCACGA
rnacentral:rRNA from 1 species